CAUCACUACGCUAGAUGCAUAUCAAUAAGCGGAGGAAAAGAAACUAACAAGGAUUCCCUUAGUAACGGCGAGUGAAGCGGGAAGAGCUCAAAUUUGAAAUCUUAAAGGUUUUCCCUUGACGAAUUGUAGUUUAAAGAAGUGUUUUCUGUUGGAGUUUUCGGUAAAAGUUCUUUGGAAUAGGACAUCAUAGAGGGUGAGAAUCCCGUAUUUGAUCCAUUACUUUCCAGCUGUGUGAUACACUUUCAAAGAGUCGGAUUGUUUGGGAAUGCAGUCCAAAAUGGGUGGUAAAUUUCAUCUAAAGCUAAAUAUUGGCGAGAGACCGAUAGCGAACAAGUACCGUGAGGGAAAGAUGAAAAGAACUUUGAAAAGAGAGUUAAACAGUACGUGAAAUUGUCCAAAAGGGAAGCGUUUGACACCAGUGUUGUUUAGUUGAAAAUCAAUUCAAUAAUUUUUGAUUCUGAGUAGUAUUGACUUCAUCAGCUUGCUGCUUUCUUCUCAGAAAUUAUUGAAUGCACUUUUCAGUUAACAAGUCAACAUCAAUUUCUUUUGUUGUAAAAGGGUAAGAGAAGGUGGCUUACGCUUCGGCGUCGAGUGUUUAUAGCCUUUUAUCCUCUGCAAUCGGAGAGAUUGAGGUCUGCAGCGUAGAUCCUUCGGGGUUAGAUACAUUGGUGCUAAGCUAUAGCCUUGUAUAGACAACUUGUUGACUAUGCUCAGUCAUGUAGCUUACUCGCUGAUGCUAUUUUACCUACGCUUAGGAUGUUGAUAUGCAUGACUGAUAU
rnacentral:rRNA from 1 species